AGAUUGUCUUCUUCACCAAUCAGAGGGGGAUCAGUCGAGGGAAACUCCGUCCCCAGGACUUCAAGGCCAAAGUGGAGGCUCUGAUCUGUCGCCUGGGCAUUCCUGUUCAGGUUUAUGUUUCGACCGGAUUAGGAUUCUAUCGGAAGCCGAUGCUGGGAAUGUUGGAUCACUUAAGGGAGCAGGGAAACAACAAUGUGAAGAUCGACUUGGACUCCUGUGUCUUCGUCGGAGAUGCGGCAGGACGACCUGCGAACUCGGGUCCCAAUCAGAAGAAGAAGGAUUUCUCCUGCAGCGACCGGCUG